UACGGAGGGUGCAAGCGUUAAUCGGAAUUACUGGGCGUAAAGCGCACGCAGGCGGUCAAUUAAGUCAGAUGUGAAAGCCCCGAGCUCAACUUGGGAAUUGCAUCUGAAACUGGUUGGCUAGAGUGUAGUAGAGGGGGGUAGAAUUCCAUGUGUAGCGGUGAAAUGCGUAGAGAUGUGGAGGAAUACCGAUGGCGAAGGCAGCCCCCUGGAAAUGUACUGACGCUGAGGUGCGAAAGCGUGGGUAGCAAACAGG
rnacentral:rRNA from 1 species